rnacentral:piRNA from 1 species
UGGUAACAAAGAACGAGAUGGUUGGCCGGC